UACGGGGGGAGCAAGCGUUGUUCGGAUUUACUGGGCGUAAAGGGCGCGUAGGCGGCGCAACAAGUCACUUGUGAAAUCUCCGGGCUUAACCCGGAGCGGCCAAGUGAUACUGUCGUGCUAGAGUGCGGAAGGGGCUACUGGAAUUCUCGGUGUAGCGGUGAAAUGCGUAGAUAUCCGGAGGAACACCGACGGCGUAGGCAGCGCCCUGGACGACACCUGACGCUGAGGCACGAAAGCUGGGGGAGCGAACAGG
rnacentral:rRNA from 1 species